UACGAAGGGGGCUAGCGUUGCUCGGAAUCACUGGGCGUAAAGGGUGCGUAGGCGGGUCUUUAAGUCAGGGGUGAAAUCCUGGAGCUCAACUCCAGAACUGCCUUUGAUACUGAGGAUCUUGAGUUCGGGAGAGGUGAGUGGAACUGCGAGUGUAGAGGUGAAAUUCGUAGAUAUUCGCAAGAACACCAGUGGCGAAGGCGGCUCACUGGCCCGAUACUGGACCGCUGAGGCACGAAAGCGUGGGGAG
rnacentral:rRNA from 1 species